rnacentral:misc_RNA from 1 species
UCAUAAAGCGACGCAAACCAAAGGCCUCCACAUCCGAGUCUUCCAGUCAAGAGUGUUGCUGCUGUUGUCUCUAGUUGUCUCUAGUUUAUAACUGUAGUGUGACGCGAGGAACCUGUGCAGGUGUGGAGGAAUAUUCGUGUUAAAACACAGCUGCGGGACACACAAGAUAGUUGAACAUGGCAAGUGACUCUGACAGCUCAGAUGACACUCUCCUGUCUCAGGCUUUACCGACAACAAAAGUUCCCAAUGACUACAACCCAGCAAUUCCUCCAGCAUCUGCUGAAGAGUAUCUUCGACAUGUUGUGUGGGAGGCCAAGCAGUGCCAAGAGGUUGUAACAGUGGACUUGGACAGGAAGAAAUUAAAGAAACUAGGAAGCAUUGUUAAGAAAGAAGUUAAAGCAUCGGCCCCAAAUGGUUACGCACCAUCUUCAGAGACUCAGCAAGAAUUAUUAGCAGCAUUUUCCAAACUCAGAACGCAGAUUGCAAAUUUAAGAACAUCAAAACAAAUUCCGCCAUCACCCAUUCCAUUGCCAGGUCUUAAAAAUCACGAGGAGUGGUGCAAGUUAUGUUUUGGUAACAGUUUCCAGCUGGCGUUACUGAAGCAGGCCAACAAGGAUGCUGCCCCGCCGCCACUGGUCGAGGGCCAGCAGCCACUCAUGAGCAUCGUUCUUAACAUUAAACAGAGAGGUCUUCAAAACCUGUUGGAGUGGCACUCUCAGUGGCUGGAAGUGCUGGGCUUCUCGGAGCCACAGGGUCGCUGGUUUUAUGCUCUCCUUGCAUGUCUAGAGAAACCCCUCACACCAGAGAGCUGUUCUCAAAUUCGACACAUAGCUAGGAUGUGUGCUCAAAUCAGAUCAGCUUUGGUGCGGUGAUGAGGGUUCGAACGUAUGCAGUGGGUGUUCUCGGAUGCACGCUCUAGUCAGCUGUACCACAACAUGAUAAAGGAAUUGCAGCCUGCAUUACUACUGCACCCACAAGGAUCCCAAGGCUUCCACUGAAGCCGAACCGGGGUUUCACACCAUUGCACUCGGGCUCUGUCGUCCAGUAGCUCUACCUCUGACGUCCCUCAUUCAAGACACAAAAAUCACAUCAUGACAUACCAAUGAACAAAUCCACGAGAACCGUGACGAGUGUUCGAACCUACGUGCUGGGGGUUCCCAGGUAGACUAAAGCGUGAAUCUAGGAACACCCACUGCAUAGGUUCGAACCCUCAUCAACACACCUGUGGAUUUGUUCAUUGAUAUAUCAUGAUAAUGUGAUUUUUUCUGUGUAUUGAAUGUGGGGCGUCUGGUAGAACUACGGGACGACAGAGCCCGAGUGCAUGGGGGAAUUGUGUGAAAACCUGGUUUGGCUUCAGUAGAAGCCUUGGGAUCCUGUGGGUACAGCAGUAAAACGAGUUGCAAUUCCGUUACCAUGAUACAUAAAUGUGGCAGAAAUCUUCAGAACAUCCACAUUUGCCUCAUCUCAACGUUAUCAUCUGUAUUGUGGCUAGAUACUUCAACCAGGAAGAUCUUGCUGAUGGAUAACUAAUGGAAGACACUACACUAUAAAAUUAAAAACUCUUAACUUCAGUUGGAUCCUGAAUGCAAAUUCAGGUUAAUGCCUUCUCGAUACUUUGGUGUGUAACAGUCAGGAGGAGAAUGCAUUGCAAAAUUUAGCCUCGAAAGCUUUUUUGUUGCAUUUAAUAAAUGUUAAAAAUUUGCAUAUUUGUUUUAUAAAAUUAAAUUAAAGAAAAAAAAAUUGUAAAGUAUAAUUUCCUGCAGUUCCCAUAUGAAUGAAGCACUGUAAAGAUUUCCUAUUGGGGGGGGGGGGGGAAAUGACAUUCAAAAUUGUGUUAAAUGUGCUCCAUUAUGUCCCUGCAGUAAGGAAAUUUGUAUAAAGCUAUUUGCAAUAGAUUCAAUAAGUUUCUAUUAAAUUAUAUCGGGUUACAUUUCUUUAUUCCAGAUUUUUCUUAGAAUUAACUAAAAUGUAGAUACUUACACUACUUACAUAUAAAAUAAGUUUUGGGAAUGUUUAUGUACAGUUUUAUUGUGUGAAGUAACCCAAAACAGGGCCUACAAGAGAAAUAUCAUGUGAUUGCAUAACCCAUGUGUUUUAUGUAAAAUAUGUACUGUUCAUGUUUUGUAUUGUUGAGUUAACUAUAUCAUGCUAGUGCUUAGUACACAACUUAGAAGGGUAUAUAGGAACAAACCUUAAUAUUGUUCAUUCGUUCGUUCAGUUAUGACAGACUUUCAGAUUUGAAUGUUGGAUUUUCUCACAUGCUAUGCAUGAAAGUACUGUAAUAUAAAAAAAGAAAAAUGCACUUUAUGCAUAUGAAUAUUAGGACAAUGUCACUGGAUAUUGUUGGGGGAUGAGCUUUUAUGAAAAAUGUUGUAUGAGGAGCCUGACCAUUCUGGUUUAGUGCCCCAUUUUGAUAAUACUUACUCCAGUUUUCCAAGUCAAGAAUGUUUUAUUCACCCUCAUUAUUAGUAUGUUUUCUUAUGAACUAUUGCUAUUAUUUUAUGUAUCGCAUUAUAAUGGUGAAUGAAGUUAUGCACUGUUAUAUUAUAAUAAAGUAAUGUUGGAUUA